GGCUUGCUUUGCUGCUCCAGACAGUGUCCAAGACAUCUAGGUAGGAAGAGGAAAUGGGUAGACCCUGCUUUUUCAGACCCUGGGAAGAAAAGCACAAAGAUGUUCAUGUUGGGGCUGGACGUGGAGGUCCUCAGGAGGAGGAAUUGUAGAGGGCAUGCUGGAGCAAGAAGAAAGAAAGAGAGACCCAGUCAAUGUGUGGCUACCUUAUGCUAUGCUAGACAAAAUCACAAGCUUCCUGGAGGACAAGGAUGAACCUCCUGUCCCACAAAGGAUUGGACUUGACAUGG